UGCGAGAUGGAUGAGCAGCCUGUACAGACAUACCCGCUAAGGACGGUUGAUGAAAUUGACCAUCUGGAAAGUAAUUUGAAAAGCUCCAGCAGCACCCGCAGGCAACUGGUAAAUAAUAUUCAACAACUUGGUUUUAUAAGUAUAAUUAUUUUGCUGUUCUUCAACAGUGCAAAGUCCUAGGCCACAUUGGCGGCAACACAGUGCGCUCAACAACUGCAAACAUCUUGAAAUAUUUACUUCACGAUUCCGUCGCUGUCAUGUACAGUCUCCAUGGGCAAAAAGGAAAAAGAGCCUUGGCUGAGACAGAGUUGUGCCGCAUAAUUCUGGAGUCUGUACGAAAAAAUGCAGCAACAGCAUCUGCUUCAGAUGCAGAGAUCCAUACAGGUAUCAUGGCAUGGCUAAAGAAUGCACAAGCCCGUCUUGAUGCAGUCAUGAAGCGGUAAUCUGAUCCAUUAUUUUUAAAAAUUCACAUGUCUUAACUCCUCAAUUUAGGCUUGUCCAUGUCAGACUAUUUCUAUAUGUGCUGGCCCGAGGGCACUCAUGCUGAUAUUCACCUCGAGGACAUUCUUGAAAUAUAGGCUGAUAUACAGACAUGAAAAAUAAACGAAAUAAUCUACAGUGCAGUUUCUAAAUUCCUAAAUAUGCCUUCACAUUCAUUUCAGUUCUGAAAUUUAUGCAAUAAUUACAAUGUGUUUCAUGACGCAUCUUUUGUAUAUCCAGAGCAGAUAUAUGUUCAAUAGCAUUAUGAAGAUUUGUGCAGUUAAAAAUUAAUGUGCCUAAUUACACGGAAAAUAAACAUCAGGCUGCAACUUUACAGACUGCUGAGCAUUUCUGAAGUGUGAAGCAGGGCAUGAAUUGUAAUUUUCUCAUUCUUGUCGCCCAUAUAUCCUUAUCAAGGUCUGUAUCUUGCUAUAAAUUAGUUUUUUUACCUUGCUGUAGGGCACAUGUUGAAACGGACCAAUGAGUAAACAGUUAAAUGGUGGCAAAGCAGCCACAUUUUUCAAGCAGUUGUGUGCUCACCAAUCAAACUUAAGCUGUUACGUUUACUCAUUCACGACACCACAAGGCCUGCUGGUUGCCAUUGUUUUUGUCUAGUCGAGCUCUUAUGUUUACUCUCACGGAACCACGAGGCGUGCUGGCUGUAGUUGUUUUUGUCUAGUCGAGCUCUUAUGUUUACUCUCACGGAACCACGAGGCGUGCUGGCUGUAGUUGUUUUUGUCUAGUCGAGCUCUUAUGUUUACUCUCACGGAACCACGAGGCGUGCUGGCUGUAGUUGUUUUUGUCUAGUCGAGCUCUUAUGUUUACUCUCACGGAACCACGAGGCGUGCUGGCUGUAGUUGUUUUUGUCUAGUCGAGCUCUUAUGUUUACUCUCACGGAACCACGAG
rnacentral:lncRNA from 1 species